UGCAUAGAAUGAAAAAGGAAUAGAAGAAUUUCCGUACCUUGAUUUCAAGUCACUUUUUGCCCUGGGAUUCAGUUUGCGCUGUUCCGAUUCAUCUACGUAUUCCGAUCGACCCGACCCGUUUCACGAACUGAUAAAUUCCCAACCAUUCUCGCUCUCUGUUCAUCUUUCUCUUUCAAUUCACAUUCCCUCACUACUACUCUUCAGGAUAUGGCAGAGGAUAUGAAAAUUGAUCAUAUUGUGGAAGUUCCUGAUACCCCAGAUAGAAUAACUGUAAGGCGUGAUGAUCAGAAAUAUUUAGGUAAUCCUGAGAAGAGGGGGAGAGCUUUUAAUGCUGCUGAUGAAAAGAAUAACCACAGUAACUUUAUAACAUUGUCCCCAUCAGAGGAAUCUUAUCCUUCUCAAAAUGCUCCCAUCUUUAGGAGAGCCCAAACUGAUGGAGCUGAAAAGAUGGAGAAAGGGAAAAGUAUAAGCUCCAAGGUUCCUUCUAAAUCAUCUCAUCGUGGUAUUUCUAUUUUAGAUUUGACUGAAGAGAGUGGAAAGUUCCGACAUCCGAAACCAGCUUUCUCACAUCGUGGAUCAAGAGAUAAUGCAACUGAAGACAAGAAAACACUAAAAGCAACUAAUGGGAACUCUUUGUUGCCAAUCAUUUCUGAUUCUUCUAAUACAUCUAGAAAUGCCUUAACUGGAAAGUGUAAACUAGAUAUUAAAACACUUCCAGGUACUAAUAUAUCUGUGGACCAUGGCAAGGGUAUUUCUCUGUCUAAUGAUUCUCAAUCACAAAAUGAAAAGGAAGUGUCGUUGCCUCCUCGUGUUUGUACCUCUCCACGAGGUAGAGGGCACAAGAGAUUGGUACGAAAUGGGUGCAUUUCACCUCAUAAUAUUGCAACAAUGGAAAAACAAUUAGCAGAACAGAGCAACCACCAAACUAAAGAUGCUGAACAGAGUCAUACUGGUCAUUCAGUUUCUAGCAAUACAGUGUCACCGGUUAGUGUUGAUGACUUAGUUGCUGAAGAGAGAGGCGAUGGUAGAGGGAAAGGAAAGGAAAUACUUGUUCAUCCUUCAUCUCAUAAUAGACUGACUUUUCGCACUGCUGCCAGCAGCCCUGUGACCAAUUAUGAAGAGAUCAAUGGUCCCAGUAAUGCUAUAAGAAAUCCACUUCAAUACUCUGGGGGCCAAGGUGGUUGGAGAACUACACAUAAUGAGAGGAAUGCUAAUCAGCCCUCUAAUGAUGUAAAUGGGCAUCAUUCAAGGAGAAGUGAUGAUAUUGGAAGAUUUAAUUAUAGACAGAAUACAAACAGAAUGGACAGAAGAAACACUGGGAGUGGUCAAAGCAGCAAGCAUGUACAUGUUUCUCAAUCAGAUCAUACAGCUCAACCAACUUCUGUGUUCAGUCCAUAUGUGGACCAGUCAUCUAGAGCCCAUCCUACUGCUGACAUUCUGACCAAAAGGCAAAGGAAACGUGAAUCACCUUCAGGGAUUAUGUUCCUCGGUUCAACUGGGGAAUCAUCAAGCUCAUCCCAGAACCCUGAAGUGAUUGAGUUGUUAUCUACACCAAGGGGUUCAUCAAACUCAUCCCGGAGCUCUGUCUUGGAUCAUGAAGUGGUUGAUUUGUUAUCCACACCAAGGUAUGCCAACAGAUCAUCUGAAGAUUUAGAUGAUAAUGACAAUAGCUCGGAAGCUCGGGCACGGCAAAUGGAAGCAGAUGAGAGAUUGGCACGUGAACUCCAAGAACAACUGUAUCAUGAUGAUCCUUUUGAAGGCAGAGGGAUUGAUGAAGAUUUAGCAUGGGACCUGCAGCGUGCAGAGGCUCUUCUGCGUACAACUAUUGAUAGCCACAGCAUGAAUCAACCUACACAGCUUCCAAGGGCAAAUAGACAGUCUCGCACACGGUUUCAACAAAACCCUUCUAGAAGGAGAGCUAUGGCUCAAGCUUCUUUCUCUAAUAGAAUGUCACAGUGGAGGAGUCGUUCUACAAGUCGGACCCGGGCACCUAACACAUCAUCUAGGGGAAGAGGCCCCCAGUUUCCUUUGGAUAUGGACUUAGAUAUGAGACUUGAUAUAUUGGAAGCUUUAGAGGAUUCAAUAGGGGAUUUCAGCGAUAUGGGAAUGGCUGAUGACAUCUUUAAUGCACGUCGUGAUUUCACUGACGCUGAUUAUGAAAUGCUAUUAGCCCUUGAUGAGGGAAAUCACCAGCAUACUGGUGCAUCUGCCAAUCUGAUCAAUAGCUUGCCGCAGUCCACCAUCCUGACUGACAACUUCACAGAUGCAUGUGCCAUAUGUCUUGAGAUCCCUGUCCAAGGAGAAACUAUUCGCCACCUUCCUUGUUUGCACAAAUUUCACAAAGAUUGUAUCGAUCCUUGGCUGCAGAGGAAAGCAUCAUGUCCGGUGUGCAAGUCAUCCAUCACCUAAUUUAUUUUGGGAUUUAAAUGGUUAGUUUAGGGUGCUGCUGUGUGUUAUCUCAGCCACCUCAUUGUCUUUCAAGUUCUGGGACAUGAAUGAUGCAUGUCGAGAAAACUGCUCUGAAUCAUGGUGUGUAAUUGAACUUCUACUGUUGGUGCUAAUGAGGAGUGUCUGCAAAGGAGAGGCAACUCUGAAGGCCGUAUUAUUUCUUAACAUAGAUGGCCAUUUAGGAAUCCUAAUGUUGAGAUGUAAACCAAUAUUUAAUAUUGUAAUUUUAUUACAUCAACAUUUUAGCUUGCUUGUCA